ACUACGGGUGGCAGCAGUGGGGAAUAUUGCACAAUGGGGGAAACCCUGAUGCAGCGACGCCGCGUGAAGGAAGAAGGAUUUCGGUAUGUAAACUUCUAUCAGCAGGGAAGAAAAUGACGGUACCUGACUAAGAAGCCCCGGCUAACUACGUGCCAGCAGCCGCGGUAAUACGUAGGGGGCAAGCGUUAUCCGGAUUUACUGGGUGUAAAGGGGGCGUAGGCGGUUUAGCAAGUCAGAAGUGAAAGCCCGGGGCUCAACUCCGGGACUGCUUUUGAAACUGUUGAACUAGAUUGCAGGAGAGGUAAGUGGCAUUCCUAGUGUAGCGGUGAAAUGCGUAGAUAUUAGGAGGAACACCAGUGGCGAAGGCGGCUUACUGGACUGUAAAUGACGCUGAGGCUCGAAAGCGUGGGGAGCAAACAGGAUUAGAUACCCCAGUAGUC
rnacentral:rRNA from 1 species